UUUUAAUACAUCAUUGACUCUCUAGACUGCAUAUUGGUAACACCGGUAUAAAUUUUGAUGAUGAGGAAUGAAGAAAGUGCUUCCUUGCUGGUCUAGUAAUUAGAAGUUUAAGUAUCAGUACCUCAAGCUGGAGAUGUGUAGAAACACUAGGUGAUUACUUAUCAGAAAGGAAUAUCAUGGGAAUUU